AAAAAGGCAUUCUCUCUGAUACAAGUUAUCCGGACAAGUAAUAUUCUUUCCCUCCACUAUCGCAAUGACAACUGUAUCUCCAAAAGCUAGCCAGCUGUAUUCUGAUUUUGACAUUGACGGCUCUGAUCUAGCCUGGCUUUCACUGUUAAAUGGGCCCACCUUUUCUCUGUCAAUUGGCUCUUGGAUUCUCAUCCACGUGAUCACGUGCUCCCUUACCAUAUCCUUUGCCUCAAGCAGAGGCGGAGGCACCAUCCCCU
rnacentral:lncRNA from 1 species